rnacentral:rRNA from 1 species
GCAAGUCGAGGGGUAACAGAGGUAGCUUGCUACUUGCUGACGACCGGCGCACGGGUGCGUAACGCGUAUAGAAUCUACCUUAUACUGGGGGAUAGCCUUUGGAAACGAAGAUUAAUACCCCAUAGUAUGUUUGAAUGGCAUCAUUUGGACAUUAAAGUUUCGGCGGUAUAAGAUGACUAUGCGUUCUAUUAGUUUGUUGGUAAGGUAACGGCUUACCAAGACUACGAUAGAUAGGGGUCCUGAGAGGGAGAUCCCCCACACUGGUACUGAGACACGGACCAGACUCCUACGGGAGGCAGCAGUGAGGAAUAUUGGACAAUGGAGGCAACUCUGAUCCAGCCAUGCCGCGUGUAGGAAGACUGCCCUAUGGGUUGUAAACUACUUUUAUAUGGGAAGAAUAAGGUCUACGUGUAGACUGAUGACGGUACCAUAAGAAUAAGCACCGGCUAACUCCGUGCCAGCAGCCGCGGUAAUACGGAGGGUGCAAGCGUUAUCCGGAAUCAUUGGGUUUAAAGGGUCCGUAGGCGGGCAUAUAAGUCAGUGGUGAAAGUCUGUGGCUCAACCAUAGAAUUGCCAUUGAUACUGUAUGUCUUGAAUUAUUGUGAAGUGGUUAGAAUAUGUAGUGUAGCGGUGAAAUGCUUAGAGAUUACAUAGAAUACCGAUUGCGAAGGCAGAUCACUAACAAUAUAUUGACGCUGAUGGACGAAAGCGUAGGUAGCGAACAGGAUUAGAUACCCUGGUAGUCUACGCCGUAAACGAUGGAUACUAGUUGUUUGGUUUUCGGACUGAGUGACUAAGCGAAAGU